AUUGAACGCUGGCGGCAGGCCUAACACAUGCAAGUCGAGCGGAUGAAGGGAGCUUGCUCCUGGAUUCAGCGGCGGACGGGUGAGUAAUGCCUAGGAAUCUGCCUGGUAGUGGGGGAUAACGUCCGGAAACGGGCGCUAAUACCGCAUACGUCCUGAGGGAGAAAGUGGGGGAUCUUCGGACCUCACGCUAUCAGAUGAGCCUAGGUCGGAUUAGCUAGUUGGUGGGGUAAAGGCCUACCAAGGCGACGAUCCGUAACUGGUCUGAGAGGAUGAUCAGUCACACUGGAACUGAGACACGGUCCAGACUCCUACGGGAGGCAGCAGUGGGGAAUAUUGGACAAUGGGCGAAAGCCUGAUCCAGCCAUGCCGCGUGUGUGAAGAAGGUCUGCGGAUUGUAAAGCACUUUAAGUUGGGAGGAAGGGCAGUAGUUAAUACCUUGCUGUUUUGACGUUACCAACAGAAUAAGCACCGGCUAACUUCGUG
rnacentral:rRNA from 1 species